rnacentral:RNase_P_RNA from 1 species
AUUAACGUUCGGGUAAUCGCUGUAAUGCUAUUUAGGGCAUUGCAGAGGAAAGUCCAUGCUCGCACGGUGCUGAGAUGCCCGUAGUGUUCGUGCCUGGCGAAAAAAUAAGCCAGGGCAGCCUGGGAAAGGCUGACGGCAGGAAAAAUGCCUACGUCCUUUUUAGGAUAUGGCAAAGUAUCCUUGAAAGUGCCACAGUGACGAAGUCUCACUAGAAAUGGUGAGAGUGGAACGCGGUAAACCCCUCGAGCGAGAAACCCAAACUUGGUAGGGGAACUUUCUCAAAGGAACCAAACGGAGAGAAGGACAGAGAAUUCUGUAGAUAGAUGAUUACCACCUGAGUACGAGGCAUUUGCCGUUUGCAGUACGAUGGAACAAAACAUGGCUUACAGAACGUUAAAUCCG